rnacentral:rRNA from 1 species
CCUACGGGUGGCAGCAGUAGGGAAUUUUCCACAAUGGGCGAAAGCCUGAUGGAGCAACGCCGCGUGGGUGAAGAAGGUCUUCGGAUCGUAAAACUCUGUUGUUAGAGAAGAAAGUGCGUGAGAGUAACUGUUCACGUUUCGACGGUAUCUAACCAGAAAGCCACGGCUAACUACGUGCCAGCAGCCGCGGUAAUACGUAGGUGGCAAGCGUUAUCCGGAUUUAUUGGGCGUAAAGGGAACGCAGGCGGGCUUUUAAGUCUGAUGUGAAAGCCUUCGGCUUAACCGGAGUAGUGCAUUGGAAACUGGGAGACUUGAGUACAGAAGAGGAGAGUGGAACUCCAUGUGUAGCGGUGAAAUGCGUAGAUAUAUGGAAGAACACCAGUGGCGAAGGCGGCUCUCUGGACGGUAACUGACGGUGAGGUUCGAAAGCGUGGGUAGCAAACAGGAUUAGAUACCCCUGUAGUC